CCUACGGGACGCAGCAGUGGGGAAUAUUGGGCAAUGGGCGCAAGCCUGACCCAGCAACGCCGCGUGAGGGAUGAAGGUCUUCGGAUCGUAAACCUCUGUCAGCAGGGAAGAACGGUCACUGUGCUAAUCAGCAGUGAAUUGACGGUACCUGCAAAGGAAGCACCGGCUAACUACGUGCCAGCAGCCGCGGUAAUACGGAGGGUGCGAGCGUCAAUCGGAAUUACUGGGCGUAAAGCGCUCGUAGGCGGUAUGUAAAGUCAAGGGUGAAA
rnacentral:rRNA from 1 species